rnacentral:rRNA from 1 species
CCUACGGGUGGCAGCAGUGAGGAAUAUUGGUCAAUGGGCGCGAGCCUGAACCAGCCAAGUCGCGUGAGGGAUGAAGGUUCUAUGGAUCGUAAACCUCUUUUAUAAGGGAAUAAAGUGUGGGACGUGUCCUAUUUUGUAUGUACCUUAUGAAUAAGGAUCGGCUAACUCAGUGCCAGCAGCCGCGGUAAUACGGAGGAUCCGAGCGUUAUCCGGAUUUAUUGGGUUUAAAGGGUGCGUAGGCGGCCUGUUAAGUCAGCGGUGAAAGUCUGUGGCUCAACCAUAGAAUUGCCGUUGAAACUGGGGGGCUUGAGUAUGUGUGAGGCAGGCGGAAUGCGUGGGGUAGCGGUGAAAUGCUUAGAUAGCACGCAGAACCCCGAGUGCGAAGGCAGCCUGCCAAGCCAUGACUGACGCUGAGGCACGAAAGUGUGGGGAUCAAACAGGAUUAGAUACCCUUGUAGUC